AACACGUGAUGGAGCCAAGGAUGACUUGCCAACAUCAACUCAUAAUCUGCAGAUGUGAGAAAAUCAUGUAAAAGAUUUCAUGAUAUGAAGAGAGUUGGCAAGUUCUUGUUGGCUACAUAUUUUGCUGU
rnacentral:pre_miRNA from 1 species